rnacentral:ribozyme from 1 species
GGCCCAGCAACUCCUAUCCCUACCUCCUCGUGGUACCGGCCGGAAAAUACGAGCAACCAUGAGAAAGACCGGGUAACCAACCCUGGUGGGAACUUUGAUCGUAGGCUGACAGAGAAGG